CCGCAUAAGCGCACAGAGCUGCAUGGCUCAGUGUGAAAAACUCCGGUGGUAUAAGAUGGACCCGCGUUGGAUUAGCUGGUUGGUGGGGUAACGGCCCACCAAGGCGACGAUCCAUAGCCGGCCUGAGAGGGUGAACGGCCACAUUGGGACUGAGACACGGCCCAGACUCCUACGGGAGGCAGCAGUGGGGAAUAUUGCACAAUGGGGGAAACCCUGAUGCAGCGACGCCGCGUGAAGGAAGAAGUAUCUCGGUAUGUAAACUUCUAUCAGCAGGGAAGAUAGUGACGGUACCUGACUAAGAAGCCCCGGCUAACUACGUGCCAGCAGCCGCGGUAAUACGUAGGGGGCAAGCGUUAUCCGGAUUUACUGGGUGUAAAGGGAGCGUAGACGGUGUGGCAAGUCUGAUGUGAAAGGCAUGGGCUCAACCUGUGGACUGCAUUGGAAACUGUCAUACUUGAGUGCCGGAGGGGUAAGCGGAAUUCCUAGUGUAGCGGUGAAAUGCGUAGAUAUUAGGAGGAACACCAGUGGCGAAGGCGGCUUACUGGACGGUAACUGACGUUGAGGCUCGAAAGCGUGGGGAGCAAAGAGGAUUAGAUACCCUGGUAGUCCACGCCGU
rnacentral:rRNA from 1 species